rnacentral:lncRNA from 1 species
GAUCAAACCCAGCACCCUGUGCAUGCCAGGUGAGCGUGCUACCACGUGAGCCACAUCCCUAGCCCAAGAACAAUUUUUUAAAGCCAUGAAAUACCUACAUUGGCAUUAUCUGCAUGAAAAUUUGUUUGGUUGUAAUUUUUGUCCAGCACCAAAUGGAUUUAUCCAGCAAGCAUUACUAAGCCCAAUUAUGUGUCUUUUUGCACUUGUCACAUUAUUUAAAGCUGAAGUCUCCAAGAUGAAUUAGAUUUCUGCCUUCAAAGAGCCUAUGAUCUAGUGAAUCAGUGCUUAUCUCAUUAUAUGAACUCUGGUUGAACUUUGUUGGGAUAUAAUUCUCACUAAUCACUGCUUAAAAUUUUAUUGCCAAAAGAAAUAACUUCAAACAGAAGGUUCCAAACCAGAUAAGAUUGUACAGAAUCAAGUAACUACUCAAAGAAUCUUAUAUAGGUGGAAUAUCCCUUAUUCAAAAUGCUUUUUUCAGAUUUCAGAUUUUUUACAUUUUGGAAUGUUUGCAUAGAUUUAACUGGGUAAACCUCCCUAUCAAAAAUCUGACAUCUUAAAUUUGAUCCAGAGUAUUUCUGCUUGCAGUUGCAAUUCCUAGAGUGUUUUAAUAGUACUUUCUUGCUAGGUUCCUAUAAAGCUUUUGUCAAAUUUGUGACUCUUAACUGGAUGACUGUACUCUCACUCUCACCCUAAGCUGAAUGUAUCCACAAUUCCUUUCACAUCUCAGUUACCCAUUUGUGUAAAAAAUGCAAAUACACUAUUUGUGUAUAUGUGUUUUUAUUAUAAAGGAAUUCUGUAUGAAAAUGAAAUCUUGCAGAAGAAUUUAAAAGAACCCUAUAUUCCCUUCAUCCAAAUACAAUUACUACUUACAUUUUGAUGCGUUUGCCUCUAAUUUCUUUUUUUUAUUGCUUUUUUUUUGGUACUGGAGUUUGAAUCUGGGGCACUUAACCACUGAGUUCAUCCCAGCCCCUUUAUUAAAUUUUAAUAAAUUUUGAGAUUUUGAGACAGGGUCUUACUAAAGUUGCUUAGGUCCUCCCUAAAUUGCUGAGGCUGCCUUUGAACUUGUGAUCUUCAUGCCUCAGCCUCCUAAGCCGUUGGGAUUGCAGAUGUGUGCCAUUGCCCCUGGCUCUAUGUGUUGUGAUUAGGAGAAAAUAUAGUAGUGUCAUACUAUUGUGUAAUAUUCUUUGUCUCUCCCCCCUCUCCUUCCCUUUCUUCCUUCUUUCUAUUUAACCAGGGCCUUAUACAUUCCAAGCAUAUGCUCUCCCCCUAAGCUAUAUUCCUGGCCCCUAUGGUAUAAUUUCAGAUCUUUUAUUUCACUAAAAAUAAAUUAAGCAUAUUUUCUUGCUAUUUAAUUAAUUUUUAAAUAUUUUUAUUUGUUCUUAUUAGUUAGACAUGAC